GGGGACUGUCCUCGGCUGCUCCCUCAAGGAAUCCCCUUUCCCUCACUUUGAUCUCGAUGACUCUGAAAAGACAAUUGGCAGCUGACAAGUGGAAUGAUUGUUCACUGCAGCUGGCUUUUCAGGGGCCCAGUCAAUAGAGCAGGAUGAUGAAACUGUUGAUUCAUCAACUGAAAUGGUCAUUUGGAUCACAGCAAGCACUGGAUAAUCCAGGUAGGAUGGGUGGUAAUCCUCAGUGUGUGACAGACACCUCGCUAGGCCAAGGAUGAGAUCCAGGGGGCAUUUUACCCUCCUGUCUCCUCCUGCCUCUCUCCCUGCCCAUCUCUGAAUUCCUGGGACGUGGCUAUGCAUCAAGGCAAGUUAUUCCCCUUUUUGGGGAAUGAACUUCCUUGUUGCUCCUUGCUUGGAAGAGCACUUGAUCAGGUUAAGCCCUUGGAGCAGCCCCAGAGCAUCAGCACCAGGGAAAUAACCUUGCUUUGUAAUGGCAUCACUUUAUGUGCAGACAAGAAUUAAGCCAGGAGUGUUUUACAGAGCUCCUCAAACCUGAUUAAGCUGAACACAGCAGUGUGAAUUUUGCUGGUGAAUGAACUCAAACCAAAUCUGCACAAACACCCACUGUCUCUCUUCACUCUCCACCUACUCUGACUCCAAUUGUUUUCUGCUUCUGUCCCGGAGCCAGCAGAUCAUCUCCAAGGACACAUACGUUAUAAAGCUCCUGUUCCCAAUAGAAUGCCUGGUUACUGGAAAUUAGGAGUCCUGUUUGCCCAGGAAUCCUGCCCAGGCAUGAAGCAGCAGGGGCAGAGCAGCCCGUGCCUCUCACCAUCUCCACACAACAGCACCUGAAGCUGGUGAUCCUCCUGCAGUGCCAUCGUGCCAGCCCAGAUCACAAACCUCACUAAAGACUCGAACAGGAUUAAUUUUUUUGUAAGAUUAAAAAGAGCAAGAAGCAGAAAUGGUUUUAAAUCAGCCCCAGACACCAGGUCCAGCAGCAGUUGUGGGGUUAGAUCCGUGCCAGAGAGCUGGAGCCACCUGGAGUGCCAGCUCCCAGCACUGGUGUCAUUCCCUGCCUGCUGCUUCCCUCAGUCAUACAGAAACAGUCUUUCAGUUGUAUCUCUCCUACAGGUAACUUUGCAUCCCCCUCCUCCCAAACACCAGCAGCUUCCUGGGUAGCUGCUGUUACAGGUAUGAAGUUAAAAUAAUAUUCCUGCUCCAAUCUUCCCUCUCCAGUCGGGCCUGCAGGGACAGAGAAGUGACUUGUGGAAUGUUCACUGCCCCAAGGUACCAGUGCAGUAUCCAGCUGUGCAAGGAUAUUCUGUAACUACACUGUUCCUUUUUCCUUUGAAUUGUUAUAAACUUUUCCUCUUUAGUUGAUGUGUUAACUGAGAAAACACAGGAGUCCCCUGUUAGCUAAUCUGUAAUACUCUAAGGUGGAAUAUAUAUUUCUAUAUAUAUGUUCUAAUGAUUUCAGUAUAGAUUGGAAACAAUUUCCCAGUUGAAACACUAAAUUUGACCAUUUUCACUAUCUGCUUGCACAAUGUUUAAUUUAUCACAUGUCAUUGUGGUAACUUAGACUAUUUUUUUACACAUUGUAUGUUUAACAUACAAUGCAAUCCUGAACCUCCCAUUCUCAUUGUUGGAUGAGAGGUUCUGGAUUCAGGGGAAUGCCACAAAAUACCUGAAUGUUUUUAAUUUGGAUUUAGACAUCUGAGCAAGGCUCUGAUGUGGGUCAAUGGCCUCAGCCCGAGCCAGUACAAUUUUCUGGAAUUUUUUCUUUCUUUGUUUCUGCUUUGUUCUGUUCCUUUUUUGUUGUUCUUCCAGCUUUCUCUUUUCCUCAAGUGAAUUCCUGGUGGGGAAAAUAAACUAAGGCUGAAUUCAUAUUAAAUCAAGAGCACCACUUCAAAGGAAGCUUUGGCAAAGAUGAUUCCAAGGAGGAAAACGGGGUUGCCAUGAGAAGACA